UCUAAGGAGCCCAAAUACCCAAAAAGUACCAGAUCCCAUUUGAUCUUGCGAAGCUAAGCAGGGUCAAUCCUAGUUAAUAUCUGGAUGGGAGACUACAGAUAGAUACUAGGUUUUUUAUGAU
rfam:Anolis carolinensis chromosome 6, whole genome shotgun sequence.